rnacentral:rRNA from 1 species
UUCGCCCUUAGAGUUUGAUCCUGGCUCAGGACGAACGCUGGCGGCGCGCCUAACACAUGCAAGUCGAACGGAGCUGAGAGGAGCUUGCUUUUCUUAGCUUAGUGGCGAACGGGUGAGUAACGCGUGAGUAACCUGCCCUGGAGUGGGGGACAACAGUUGGAAACGACUGCUAAUACCGCAUAAGCCCACGGCCCGGCAUCGGGCUGAGGGAAAAGGAUUUAUUCGCUUCAGGAUGGACUCGCGUCCAAUUAGCUAGUUGGUGGGGUAACGGCCUACCAAGUCGACGAUCAGUAGCCGGACUGAGAGGUUGAACGGCCACAUUGGGACUGAGACACGGCCCAGACUCCUACGGGAGGCAGCAGUGGGGAAUAUUGCACAAUGGGGGAAACCCUGAUGCAGCAACCCCGCGUGAAGGAAGACGGUUUUCGGAUUGUAAACUUCUGUUCUUAGUGAAGAAUAAUGACGGUAGCUAAGGAGCAAGCCACGGCUAACUACGUGCCAGCAGCCGCGGUAAUACGUAGGUGGCAAGCGUUGUCCGGAAUUACUGGGUGUAAAGGGAGCGUAGGCGGGAUGCCACAGACACUGUGAAAACUAUGGGUUUAACUUGUAGACUGCAGGUGAAACUGGUAUUCUUGAGUGAAGUAGAGGUUGGCGGGAAUUUCGAGUGUAGGGGUGAAAAUGCGUAGAUAUUAGGAGGAACACCGGUGGCGAAGGCGGCCAACUGGGCUUUAACUGACGCUGAGGCUCGAAAGUGUGGGGAGCAAACAGGAUUAGAUACCCUGGUAGUCCACACUGUAAACGAUGAUAACUAGGUGUGGGGGGUCUGACCCCUUCCGUGCCGCAGCUAACGCAAUAAGUUAUCCACCUGGGGAGUACGACCGCAAGGUUGAAACUCAAAGGAAUUGACGGGGACCCGCACAAGCAGUGGAUUAUGUGGUUUAAUUCGAAGCAACGCGAAGAACCUUACCAGCACUUGACAUCCGACUAACGAAGUAGAGAUACAUUAGGUGCCCUUCGGGGAAAGUCGAGACAGGUGGUGCAUGGUUGUCGUCAGCUCGUGUCGUGAGAUGUUGGGUUAAGUCCCGCAACGAGCGCAACCCCUGCCAUUAGUUGCUACGCAAGAGCACUCUAAUGGGACCGCUACCGACAAGGUGGAGGAAGGUGGGGACGACGUCAAAUCAUCAUGCCCCUUAUGUGCUGGGCUACACACGUAAUACAAUGGCCAUCAACAAAGAGAAGCAAUACCGCGAGGUGGAGCAAAACUAUAAAAAUGGUCUCAGUUCGGACUGCAGGCUGCAACCCGCCUGCACGAAGUUGGAAUUGCUAGUAAUCGUGGAUCAGCAUGCCACGGUGAAUACGUUCCCGGGUCUUGCACUCACCGCCCGUCA